AAUAGAUACCCCGGUAGUCCACGCCGUAAACGAUGAGUGCUAAGUGUUAGAGGGUUUCCGCCCUUAGUGCUGCAGCUAACGCAUUAAGCACUCCGCCUGGGGAGUACGGUCGCAAGACUGAAACUCAAAGGAAUUGACGGGGGCCCGCACAAGCGGUGGAGCAUGUGGUUUAAUUCGAAGCAACGCGAAGAACCUUACCAGGUCUUGACAUCCCACUGACCGGUAUAGAGAUAUACCUUUCCCUUCGGGGACAGUGGUGACAGGUGGUGCAUGGUUGUCGUCAGCUCGUGUCGUGAGAUGUUGGGUUAAGUCCCGCAACGAGCGCAACCCUUGAUCUUAGUUGCCAGCAUUUAGUUGGGCACUCUAAGGUGACUGCCGGUGACAAACCGGAGGAAGGUGGGGAUGGCGUCAAAUCAUCAUGCCCCUUAUGACCUGGGCUACACACGUGCUACAAUGGAUGGUACAAAGGGCUGCAAAACUGCGAAGUCAAGCCAAUCCCAUAAAACCAUUCUCAGUUCGGAUUGCAGG
rnacentral:rRNA from 1 species